UACGAAGGGGGGCUAGCGUUGCUCGGAAUCACUGGGCGUAAAGGGCGCGUAAGCGGCCGAUUAAGUCGGGGGUGAAAGCCUGUGGCUCAACCACAGAAUUGCCUUCGAUACUGGUUGGCUUGAGACCGGAAGAGGACAGCGGAACUGCGAGUGUAGAGGUGAAAUUCGUAGAUAUUCGCAAGAACACCAGUGGCGAAGGCGGCUGUCUGGUCCGGUUCUGACGCUGAGGCGCGAAAGCGUGGGGAGCAAACAGG
rnacentral:rRNA from 1 species